AAUUAGUUUGGUUUUGGCUAAUUUAUUUUGUUAGCUAUACGUUAGUAUAAUACAUGGUAAAGAAAUUGUUGUAUUGUGAGUAUUAUUUAAAUUGUUUUUUAGUCUUAAUGAUGAAUAUUGAUUAAUUUAAAAAAGAUAUUAAACUGUAAAGAUGUCUAGAGUAAUUCACAACACCAGUAUAGAAAUUUAUUUAAUAAAUGAGAGUUUGAAAUAGGGAUAUGGUGAAGGACUAGUAAAAAUUGUGCCAGCAACUGCGGUUAUACAAUUAGUUCAAGUUAACAUUGUUCGGCUUAAAAGGUAGUUAGGAGAAAUGAAUUAGGCAUAAGAAGAACUUAAUUAUGGGUUAAAUCUGUAUUUAGGUUUUAAUUUCGUAAGUGUCUUAUUUUUGAAGCUAUGAAAUUUUGGUUAGAGACUGGGAUUAGAUACCCCAUUAUUCUAAAAUUUUAAUUUUGAUUAUAUGUUUGCCUGGGUACUACGAGAACUUUUCUUAAAACCCAAAAGACUUGGCGGCACCUUAUAUCUUUUUAGGGGAACCUGUCCUGUAAUCGAUAAUCCUCGUUUAACCUAACCUUUUUUUGUUUUUCAGUUUAUAUACCGCCGUCGUCAGGUCACUUUUUUAAAAAAAAGAAGUGAGCUUAAUAAUUUAUUUGAAUAUUAUUACGUCAGGUCAAGGUGUAGCUUAUAAAAAGGGUAGAGAUGGGUUACAAUUUAUAAUUUAAAAUUAUGGAUUACUAUAUGAAAUUAAUAGUAUGAAAGUGGACUUAAUAGUAAAGUUGUAUUAUGAGAGAUAGCUUGAAUAUUGCUCUAGGUGUGCACACAUCGCCCGUCGCUCUCGUUAUUGAAAUGAGAUAAGUCGUAACAAAGUAGGUGUAACGGAAGUUGCCCCUAGAU
rnacentral:ncRNA from 1 species